GCAGUCAGGUGUGGAUGUGUACGUUAUGUCAGGAUGUGUUUAAUGACAUUGACCCAUUCAGUCAUGAUAGACUGAAGGAGCCCUACCUCAGUCUACAGGACCAGAUGAAGUGUGAGCAGCUCUUGCUGACUGUGAUGUGUGACGAGCACAGCUACCUGCUCUACAAAUCAUCUAAGCGCACUGCAGGAUAUGUGGAGUUUGAGUUUAUUCGGGGACGACUGCUGGGAAAGCGGACUCCUCCGUAUCGCUCGGCAGCUGAGCUGGUCUCAGAUCUCUGGGCUCUUUUUGACGGCUUGUCAGUAAACUCCAAGAAGAGAGACUUGGUCAUCAAGCUUCAGAACUCGUUUAGAGAGCGGCUGGAUGUAACAUUUGGAAAAAGCCUCCAUGCUUCUCUCCUGAGGACUCUCAGUAGUGAACAGAAGGUGGCGCCAGAGCCUAAGCUGGACAAAGAAAAGGCCAAAAGCACUCUUAAGAGGAUGAGGGAUUUUUUAGCUGAAAACUCUGUCUUUGUGCCAAAGAGGCCACGCACUGAGAGAUCCAGCGAGAGCUCCAAUACGUUUCAAAUCACUGAAGACUAAAUGUUUAAUUGUACUUAUGAGUACAUCAUAUCUGUGUGCCAGACUGUAAGCAGUAUUCUUAUUUUUUGUACCUUGCUAGUAUUAUUUCUUUCAUAACUUAAUUU
rnacentral:lncRNA from 1 species